GUGGAGCUGCCAGGCCUGUGGGGUGGGGUCGUCCCCUCCCUCUUGGGCUCCAGGGCUCCCAGGAAAAGGCUUAGAAUGUUCUUCUCCCCAUCAGCAUGGGAGGAGCCGGCCUGGGGCCCGCGUGUUUCCCAGCCGCGUCCCCGCCGCUGAAGAGCAGGCUGCACUCGAGCUGUUGGAAGGACCGGGAUCUGCCACUGUUGCUGGGUUCUGCGUCAGGGGUCUGGUGACUGAAGAGAAGACACUGAUGAUUGGGGGGGUCACACCAGUAUCCCAGCCCAACACCUCAGCCCCACUGCAUUCUGCUCCAAACCUUGUCCUGAGUGUUCAGUCAACACUACCCCAUUGUCCCUGACAUGGGAGCUGGCAUUUCGCUUCACCCAUUUCACAGAAGAGGAAGCUGAGUCCCACAAAGGUCAAGGGAAUUGUCCCUCACAGGCCUGGUCAGCAGUGGAGCUGGGAUCCCCGUGCCGGCUGUCCAUCUCCCUAGGCCCGUGCUUAGCCCGAAGCUUUCCGGAGCCCCUGGCUUCACGGGGUGGAGACGGUGAUGAGAUCCCGCUCUCAGGAGCCGUCAAAGACCUCUCCUCCACUCCUCACCCCAGCCUCCUGCCCAGCCCAAGCUACCCACCUAGGCGGCCUCCCCCCAAUUUCCUCCUCUUCUCUCCUCCAGGAACCCCAAACUCCUCCAGGCACCUCCCAGCAGCCGGCUCUG
rnacentral:lncRNA from 1 species